rnacentral:rRNA from 1 species
AACGAACGCUGGCGGCAUGCCUAACACAUGCAAGUCGAACGAGACCUUCGGGUCUAGUGGCGCACGGGUGCGUAACGCGUGGGAACCUGCCCUUAGGUUCGGAAUAACUCCCCGAAAGGGGUGCUAAUACCGGAUAAUGUCUUCGGACCAAAGAUUUAUCGCCUUUGGAUGGGCCCGCGUUGGAUUAGCUAGUUGGUAGGGUAAAAGCCUACCAAGGCGACGAUCCAUAGCUGGUCUGAGAGGAUGAUCAGCCACACUGGGACUGAGACACGGCCUAGACUCCUACGGGAGGCAGCAGUGGGGAAUAUUGGACAAUGGGCGAAAGCCUGAUCCAGCAAUGCCGCGUGAGUGAUGAAGGCCUUAGGGUUGUAAAGCUCUUUUAACCGGGAUGAUAAUGACAGUACCGGGAGAAUAAGCCCCGGCUAACUCCGUG